rnacentral:rRNA from 1 species
CCUACGGGUGGCUGCAGUGAGGAAUAUUGGUCAAUGGGCGCAAGCCUGAACCAGCCAUGUCGCGUGAAGGAUGACUGCCCUACGGUUUGUAAACUUCUUUUAUAAAGGAAUAAAGUUAUCCACGUGUGCCUUUUUGUAUGUACUUUAUGAAUAAGGAUCGGCUAACUCCGUGCCAGCAGCCGCGGUAAUACGGAGGAUCCGAGCGUUAUCCGGAUUUAUUGGGUUUAAAGGGAGCGUAGAUUGUUUGUUAAGUCAGUUGUGAAAGUUUGCGGCUCAACCGUAAAAUUGCAGUUGAUACUGGCAGUCUUGAGUACAGUUGAGGUAGGCGGAAUGCGUGGUGUAGCGGUGAAAUGCUUAGAUAUCACGAAGAACUCCGAUUGCGAAGGCAGCUUACUAAACGGUAACUGACACUGAUGCUCGAAAGUGUGGGUAUCAAACAGGAUUAGAUACCCGUGUAGUC